GUCUGCAGCAUCAUCAAGUGCUGCCGCAUCAUCCUCACAGACAGAGUCGGAGGAUGUUCCUCUAGCUGUACCACCUCCACCUCCUUUGCCAGAUGCUGGUUCAAACUCUGGGGAUGGCACGGUUGUGCCUUCAUCUUUGCCUCUACCACCCCCACCUCCUGUGCCGUCCACGCCUGCCACAGCAAACUUGGGUAUUCCUUUGCCUCCACCACCUCCUGGUCCCCCACCUAAAGAUCAAGUUGCUGUUCGCCCUCCACUACCUCCACCUCCUCCCCUUCCACAGUCUGCACAGCCACCUCCACCUG
rnacentral:lncRNA from 1 species